rfam:Gossypium hirsutum cultivar TM-1 chromosome 10, whole genome shotgun sequence
UAUUAAAAAAUUUAUCUCUUGAUAUUAUUAAAUAUUGGCAUGGCUGAUGGAACAAUCAUAUAGUGACAUGUGGCACACCACGUGUACCUCAUAUUAACAUAUAUAGAUAAGUUUUUAACGGUAAAAAUAAAUAGAAUUUUUAAUA